AACGUGAGCGCUCGCCACGGAGGCUCCUACUCCUGCACCGCGUCCAACGCCAUCGGCGCGGCCACGUGCUCACUCCGCCUCCACGUGAGCCGCUCCCCUGCAGCGCGGCGCCAGCGCGGCGGCGUGCACCCAAGCCGCCCCUUGGUGGUGGCCGCGGUGGUGGGGGGCGUGGGGAGCCUCCUCCUCCUUCUCUUCCUCCUCCUCGCCCUGAGACUUCACGUCCACCGGCGACGAGUCCGGGAGGACGACUGCCCCAACGACAUCCUGGAGGACGACUCCCCUCCCACCUCGUCUCCCUUCUUCCGCCUCCUCUCCCGCCCAGCUGCUCGCGAGGAGACCCCAAUUGCAGCCGAUACAUCGACGCCUCUGGCACCUCGCCACCACCACCACCAUCAUCAUCGCCAUCACCAGCGCACCCCCCUACGUCAUGCCCGCCGUCACCACCACCACCACCACCGUCGUGCCCCCAUCUCCGCGCGGGUCCCCGGAGACCGGCUUGAGGCGGAGACGCUCAACGUGGGGCCAACCGUGGGUCCCCCAGGGCUCAGCUCCCUUACUCCCUGCGGCUUCGAGUGAAGUCCUCAGCUCCUGGUUCCACCAGCUCCUGGUUCCACCAACUCCUGGUUCUACCAGCUCCUGGUUCCACCAGCUCCUGGUUCCACCAGCUCCUGGUUCCACCAGCUCCUCGUUCCACCAGCUCCUGGUUCCACCAGCUCCUGGUUCU